GAUGAACGCUGGCGGCGUGCCUAAUACAUGCAAGUCGAGCGAACAGACGAGGAGCUUGCUCCUCUGACGUUAGCGGCGGACGGGUGAGUAACACGUGAGUAACCUGCCCUUGACUUUGGGAUAACUUCAGGAAACUGGGGCUAAUACCGGAUAGGAGCUCCUGCUGCAUGGUGGGGGUUGGAAAGUUUCGGCGGUUGGGGCUGGACUCGCGGCUUAUCAGCUUGUUGGUGGGGUAGUGGCUUACCAAGGCUUUGACGGGUAGCCGGCCUGAGAGGGUGACCGGCCACAUUGGGACUGAGAUACGGCCCAGACUCCUACGGGAGGCAGCAGUGGGGAAUAUUGCACAAUGGGCGGAAGCCUGAUGCAGCAACGCCGCGUGCGGGAUGACGGCCUUCGGGUUGUAAACCGCUUUCGCCUGUGACGAAGCGUGAGUGACGGUAAUGGGUAAAGAAGCACCGGCUAACUACGUG
rnacentral:rRNA from 1 species